rnacentral:rRNA from 1 species
GACGUAGGGCGCGAGCGUUGUCCGGAUUUAUUGGGCGUAAAGAGCUCGUAGGCGGCUUGUCGCGUCGACUGUGAAAACCCGCGGCUCAACCGUGUGGCUUGCAGUUGAUACGGGCAGGCUAGAGUUCGGUAGGGGAGACUGGAAUUCCUGGUGUAGCGGUGAAAUGCGCAGAUAUCAGGAGGAACACCGGUGGCGAAGGCGGCAUCCUGGACCAACACUGACGCUGAGGAGCGAAAGCCAGGGGAGCAAACGGG